rnacentral:rRNA from 1 species
GGCGGCGUGCUUAACACAUGCAAGUCGAGCGAAGCAGUUAAGUUGAUUUCUUCGGAUUGAUUCUUAACUGACUGAGCGGCGGACGGGUGAGUAACGCGUGGGUGACCUGCCCCAUACCGGGGGAUAACAGCUGGAAACGGCUGCUAAUACCGCAUAAGCGCACAGAGCUGCAUGGCUCGGUGUGAAAAACUCCGGUGGUAUGGGAUGGGCCCGCGUCUGAUUAGGCAGUUGGCGGGGUAACGGCCCACCAAACCGACGAUCAGUAGCCGGCCUGAGAGGGCGACCGGCCACAUUGGGACUGAGACACGGCCCAAACUCCUACGGGAGGCAGCAGUGGGGAAUAUUGCACAAUGGGGGAAACCCUGAUGCAGCGACGCCGCGUGAGCGAAGAAGUAUUUCGGUAUGUAAAGCUCUAUCAGCAGGGAAGAUAAUGACGGUACCUGACUAAGAAGCCCCGGCUAACUACGUGCCAGCAGCCGCGGUAAUACGUAGGGGGCAAGCGUUAUCCGGAUUUACUGGGUGUAAAGGGAGCGUAGACGGCAAGGCAAGUCUGAUGUGAAAACCCAGGGCUUAACCCUGGGACUGCAUUGGAAACUGUCUGGCUCGAGUGCCGGAGAGGUAAGCGGAAUUCCUAGUGUAGCGGUGAAAUGCGUAGAUAUUAGGAAGAACACCAGUGGCGAAGGCGGCUUACUGGACGGUAACUGACGUUGAGGCUCGAAAGCGUGGGGAGCAAACAGAGUUAGAUACCCUGGUAGUCCACGCCGUAA